CUACGUGCCAGCAGCCGCGGUAAUACGUAGGGUGCGAGCGUUAAUCGGAAUUACUGGGCGUAAAGCGAGCGCAGACGGUUACUUAAGCAGGAUGUGAAAUCCCCGGGCUCAACCUGGGAACUGCGUUCUGAACUGGGUGACUAGAGUGUGUCAGAGGGAGGUAGAAUUCCACGUGUAGCAGUGAAAUGCGUAGAGAUGUGGAGGAAUACCGAUGGCGAAGGCAGCCUCCUGGGAUAACACUGACGUUCAUGCUCGAAAGCGUGGGUAGCAAACAGGAUUAGAUACCCCGGUAGUCCUGGCUGUAAACGAUGAAUGCUAGGUGUGCGAGCAGAGAUGUUGGUGUGCCGCAGUUAACGCGAUAAGCAUUCCGCCUGGGGAGUACGGUCGCAAGGUUAAAACUCAAAUGAAUUGACGGGGGCCCGCACAAGCGGUGGAGCAUGUGGUUUAAUUCGAUGCAACGCGAAGAACCUUACCUACUCUUGACAUCCAGAGAACAUUC
rnacentral:rRNA from 1 species